AUCAUGCUGAUGAGUCUAAAAUAGGACGAAAUGUGCAUCCUGGAU
rnacentral:hammerhead_ribozyme from 1 species